rnacentral:misc_RNA from 1 species
UUUUAGUUUAGUGAUUACAUGGCAGUGUGCACAUAAAGACACAUAAUAUAUCCUGAAAACUGAAAUUCAGGGAUUUUUUAUUUUAUUUUUCCUUGCAUCCUUUUAAUCCAAUUAAAGCAGAAAAGUAGCAAAAGUUUAUUUUUUUUUAAGUUAAAAUUCUCUGCCAAGUAUAGGCUUAAUCCACCACGCUGCUCUAAAGCGGGUUGGCG